AUGCUGGCUACUCCCCACAGCCCUUGGGGGAAGAGCUGGGAAGGUUCAGGAGGCUGGGCCCCUGACUGUGCCUUGGUGUGGUGGUGGGUAGUGUCCUCCUUCGUGUUUGUCCUGGCCAUCUUGCUGCUGCUGCUCUACCAGCGGGACCCCCAGUGCUGCCAGUUCCUCUGCUCCUGCCGCUUCUUCCAGGGUCCUAGCCAGUGUGACUGUCCCCCUCCCUACUUUAGCAAUAACCAGGACUUGGUGGGACCCCCAGCCAGAUCCCAGCCAUCAGAGAGGAUGAGAACUAGAGUGCAGGGGCAUUUCCAGAGUGAUGAAGUAUUCUGUGUGGGACUGCCCAACAACUACCAGCUACCCCCCUGGCGCCCCCCACGUCUUCCCAGCUAUGAGAGUGUUCGAAAGAAGGACCGGCAGCAACAGAUCCACCGGCUGAUUGCACAUCGUUUUGGACUAUGGGCCUGCAGAGAGGUGGUCCUGUCUUAAUAAUCACCUCUUUAGGGUUUCCAAGAAGUCAUCCCUAACCCUCAACCAGUCCUUCUCCACCCUCAGCUUACAAAACUCCCUCAUUUGAGUCACUGAUGGUGAACACCCACAAUUCAACUAUAUCACGGCAGUAUAGGCACAGUGGAUAGAGCACCGGCCCUGGAGUCAGGAGGACCCGAGUUCAAAUCUGGACUCAGACACAUAACACUCACUAGCUGUAUGACCCUGGACAAGUCACUUAACCCCACUGCCUAGCUUAAAAAAAAAAGAAAUUAAAAAGCAACUAUAUCACUGCAGUAGAGGAGGAUGGGUUUUCUUCCACUGAGGGAAGGACAACCCCUCUGCAGAGAGGGGUUGCUUUGGGAGACAGUGGCUCAAACCCAGCUUGCUUCUACAAAGGGCCAGAACCUUUUCCAAGGGGAAAAGGAAGCUGAAUGGAGAAGCCAGGGGGUGGGGGAAGUACAGAAACCAGAGUUUGAGAAAGCUUUCCCCUAUUUUUUAACAGAGCUGACAUGUCUCUUCUUUCACCAGCUUCCACCAACCUAUGAGGAAUCCCUGGGACCGCUCCCUGAGGUGCCCCCCAGUUCUGGCUCUGCCCACCCAUUCCAGAGAACAACUGCCUUCCCUACUCAGAGGAACACCGCAGUGUAGCAGCAAGCAAGCAGCCUCCUCCUGGCCACCUCCUUAUCCCAGCCCAACCCAGGCAGCAAAGAUGGUGCCAAGCUGCCACCAGAGGGGGGCCUCUGCCAAACUCCAAUUGUGCUAGAUGCCCUUUGGUGCCUUCAAGACAGUGCAACAGGAGGAUCUUACUGAUGCCACAUCUUUGGGGACUGCCCCCUGUGGCCAUCCCACCCUCCCUGAAAUUUCUGGUCCUCUAUCCUAGAAAGCUCCCUCCACUGUCUGCAAGGAAGUGAUGGGCCUACAUUACUGCCCAUAAGCACAAAGGGUAAAGUGAAUUACAGAGAGGGGAGUCUUAUUCAAGGCCACAGAAAAAAUAACGAAAAGAUCUGUAAGUGGAUCUUCGGAGUCUUACCUUUCCUGUUCCAGCUUCCUGGGGCUUCUGGAAUGAACAGAAAUGAAGUCUUUAUUCUGGUCUUAGAAAGAAUUCUUGUCUCCGGCCUUGGAGUCAGGAGGACCUGAGUUCAAAUCCGGCCUCAGACACUUGACACUUACUAGCUGUGUGACCCUGGGCAGGUCACUUAACCCCAACUGCCUCACCAAAAAAAAAAAAAACCAAACUCUUGGGUCUCUUCAGGCCACUCUGCUCAGAAACGGCCAAUCAGAGAGGGACCACAGGCACCAGGUCAAUCACUGCCCAUGCCACACCAGAUAGAGGCUGGCAGGUGGACCUCUCUUCUCCCACACAGAGUAGAGUAAAUGCUACAGAUGACUGGAAGGGGUAAACACGCUUUCUAUCCUGACCCUCAAUUUUAAAGAACCUGGGCCUAAGCUACCAAUCAGCUUUUAACCCUGUCUGAAUUCCUCUUCCAUACAAUAUAUUCUCAAAGCCAAGUUUCCUUACUGUCGUUUACAGUAUUAGAGACAAAGGCGUGAAAGCAAUGUGUCUGCAACACUCAGUGUGACAGCUUUGGGUGUUAUCUAGCUCACCAAAAUCAACCCAAAGGUCUAGCAUUCCCUAGGAAGCCAAAAGCUCAGUACUUGCUGAUUUACACUGGGACUUUUCCAUGCUUCUUCUACCAUAAACUCCUCCAGGUAAUAACAGAAGAAAUAAAUGAAGAGAAAAGAGGGCA
rnacentral:lncRNA from 1 species